GAUUCUCACUUAAACUGAGUAAUUCCAGAUUAUCAGUGGGAAAUAAGACACACGCACACCCUCCUUCUUGGAGAAAUAAUUAAUUUAGGCAGCCCGGGUUUUCGCAGCCGCGGCCGGAAAUGAGCCUCGGUCUAGCCCUUUGACGGAGAGGGAUCCCCCCACCCCUCCCAGGCGGGACCGAGGCGUACGAGCGAGGGCUGGGUGCCCUGCCGGAGGUGGGUGCUCCAGGCGCUGGGAGAGAAAGACAGCGCUCACCGGGGCCCGGGCCGCGUUCCCGGGUCGUCUGCAGGAACCCAGGGCAUUGAGGACCAUACAAGAAAAAAGGGUGCUGUCUGGAAUUCCGAGUGUGAAAGUGCCCUUUGACUGCCUGUGCUGUGCUGAGUUGCUUUCGUUGUGUCCGAAUCUUUGCAACCCCAUGGACCACAGCCCACCAG
ensembl:lncRNA